GACGAACGCUGGCGGCGUGCUUAACACAUGCAAGUCGAACGGUAAGGCCCUUCGGGGUACACGAGUGGCGAACGGGUGAGUAACACGUGGGUGAUCUGCCCUGCACUUCGGGAUAAGCCUGGGAAACUGGGUCUAAUACCGGAUAGGACCACUGCCUGCAUGGGUGGUGGGGGAAAGCUUUUGCGGUGUGGGAUGGGCCCGCGGCCUAUCAGCUUGUUGGUGGGGUGAUGGCCCACCAAGGCGACGAUCAGUAGCCGGCCGGAGAGGGCGGACGGCCACACUGGGACUGAGACACGGCCCAGACUCCUACGGGAGGCAGCAGUGGGGAAUUGUUCGCAAUGGGCGCAAGCCUGACGACGCAACGCCGCGUGGAGGAUGAAGGUCUUCGGAUUGUAAACUCCUGUUGAUCGGGACGAAAAGCUUCAACCUAAUACGUUGAAGACUGACGGUACCGGUUGAGGAAGCCACGGCUAACUCUGUGCCAGCCGCCGCAGUAACAC
rnacentral:rRNA from 1 species